UUACAACAGCAUCAAGGCCUUGCUGGACGCUUUUAAGUAUGCAGGUACACCAAGGCGCACUACCACGGGCAGGACUGGUCACAGCGGACAGAGUUCUCUGUGGGGAGGAACAAGGUCAAGUGGGAGCCACUUGUGGACCCUCGGAAGUUCUUCACAUCUGGUGCAAGCAAUGAAUAAAAUAUGGAAAGAAAAGCAACGGACGACACAAAUGCGACUUGCACCAAGCUACUCAGCGGGAAACAUGGGGUACAGCAAGUGGACAGUGCACCAAAGGCGCAACGCCUUGUCAUGUUGGAGCAACGGAGAAAACUGGUGCAAAGUGCCGCUGGCACCAAAAUAACUCAUUAUUUGAAUUCAAAUCAUCUUUUGAAGUAUUGAGUGGAAAAUUGCAUAGUGAUCACAAAUAGGAGAUGCCAAACAUCCUCGUGAACAAGAGGCUCGGAAGAAUGUCUGUGACGUCCUCUACCACAGGAUAAUGCAUAAUUGUGAGGGAAAAUCUAAUAUUUUAACAUUCUAGUCGGUGAAGGUUUCAUAGUUGUAUAAAAAGAACGUGUGAUUAUUUUGUUAUUAAAUGUUUCCUCCAAUUUUAACUUUGAAAAGGCAGUAUUUGAAUAAAGCCUUCUCAAUGCGGU